rnacentral:rRNA from 1 species
CCGGUGGUUCUGCGUGGAAGGGCCAUCGCUCAACGGAUAAAAGCUACCCUGGGGAUCUCAGGCUUAUCUCCCCACAGUGUACACAUCGACGGGGAGGUUUGGCACCUCGAUGUCGGUGCAUCACAUCUGGGGGCUGUAGUAGGUCCCAAGGGUUUGGCUGUUCGCCCAUUAAAGUGGUACGCGAGCUGGGUUCAGAACGUCGUGAGACAGUUCGGUCCCUAUCCGUCGCAGGCGUAGGAAAUUUGAGAAGACCUGUCCUUAGUACGAGAGGACCGGGAUGGACGUACCUCUGGUGUACCAGUUGUUCUGCCAAGGGCAUGGCUGGGUAGCUAUGUACGGAAUGGAUAAGCGCUGAAAGCAUCUAAGCGCGAAG